rnacentral:tRNA from 1 species
AUCAUAGUGGCAGAUUAGUGCGAAGAAGUUAAGUUUCUUAUAUGAGUGGUUAAAGCUCUUAUGAUA